GACGAACGCUGGCGGCGUGCUUAACACAUGCAAGUCGAACGGAAAGGCCCUGCUUUUGUGGGGUGCUCGAGUGGCGAACGGGUGAGUAACACGUGAGUAACCUGCCCUUGACUUUGGGAUAACUUCAGGAAACUGGGGCUAAUACCGGAUAGGAGCUCCUGCUGCAUGGUGGGGGUUGGAAAGUUUCGGCGGUUGGGGAUGGACUCGCGGCUUAUCAGCUUGUUGGUGGGGUAGUGGCUUACCAAGGCUUUGACGGGUAGCCGGCCUGAGAGGGUGACCGGCCACAUUGGGACCGAGAUACGGCCCAGACUCCUGCGGGAGGCAGCAGUGGGGAAUAUUGCACAAUGGGCGGAAGCCUGAUGCAGCAACGCCGCGUGCGGGAUGACGGCCUUCGGGUUGUAAACCGCUUUCGCCUGUGACGAAGCGUGAGUGACGGUAAUGGGUAAAGAAGCACCGGCUAACUACGUG
rnacentral:rRNA from 1 species